rnacentral:rRNA from 1 species
UACAGAGGUCUCAAGCGUUGUUCGGAUUCAUUGGGCGUAAAGGGUGUGUAGGUGGCGCCGUAAGUCGGGUGUGAAAUUUCGGAGCUUAACUCCGAAACUGCAUUCGAUACUGCGUGCUUGAGGACUGGAGAGGAGACUGGAAUUUAUGGUGUAGCGGUGAAAUGCGUAGAGAUCAUGAGGAAGACCAGUGGCGAAGGCGGGUCUCUGGACAGUUCCUGACACUGAGACACGAAGGCCAGGGGAGCAAACGGG